CCGCUUAUUGAUAUGCUUAAACUCAGCGGGUAGCCCCGCCUGACCUGAGGUCUCGUUGGGAGCGUGCGUGCACGCAAAGGGUCGUCGAUGGGUCCAGAACUGACCGGCUCACACGUGAUUGGUCUCGAGCGUGGCUCAUCCACCAUUUUAUCACGGCGAAGUCGGCCAUGAACCCAGAUUUCAACCAACCACGAGGCGGGUGCUCGCGGGAGGUCAGCAUACACCCCGCGCAGCAACAUUGUUACAUGUUUGCGUUGGGGAAACGAUGUGUGACACCCAGGCAGGCGUGCCCUCGGCCUAAUGGCUUCGGGCGCAACUUGCGUUCAAAGACUCGAUGGUUCACGGGAUUCUGCAAUUCACACCAAGUAUCGCAUUUCGCUGCGUUUCAUCGAUGCUUCCA
rnacentral:misc_RNA from 1 species